rfam:Myotis davidii contig93761, whole genome shotgun sequence.
AUCACCCAAGGAGCUUGUUAAAAUGCAGAUUCUUAUUCAGUGAGCCUGAGGUGCUGCAUUUCUUACAAGAUCCCGGGUGAUGCUGA